UAUUGUUAUAAGGGGGGGGGGGAUAGAGAACAUAGAGUGAGUUAUGCAGAGUGAGUGUUGUUUUAAAAGGCAUUUAAAAACUUUUUCUGUAGGAGUAUUAAAAGUAAGCCAAAUGAAGUUCUAAAAGAACAGCACAAAACAUCAGAAUUAAAACCAAAAUUAUUUCAAAAUUAAUGCAUUUAGCUUGCAUCAAGUGACGAAACAUGUAUACAAUUGUGUUCUCAUUUAAACUUGAAGUACAUCUACACUGUAAAAGUAAUGCAGCUUGGCACCACUUGAACUGCCCUGAUUCAAUGCUAUGGAAUCAUGGGAGUUGUAGUUUAGAGAGGCACCAGCACUCUUUGGCAGAGAAGGCUAAAGGCCUUGUUAAACUACAACGCCCUGGAUUCAUUGGACUACAGCAGUUAACGUAUAUUAAUUUUAGAAUGUAGAUGCACCCCAGGUUAAGUUCUCCAACUCGUAAAACUUCUCUGGUCUUCUACUGCAUGGAUGCGGAAGCUCAAAAGCAAUUUAUGACAUGAUAUGGGUUUUUUUCCUGCAGAAAGGAUUUUUGCAUUUGCUUGUCAUUACUCAAAAUUAAUUACCUUUAUUUAAUGGCCUCAGUGCGCGCUUAAGUAAAUUGGGCUAAUUGAAUCAAUGCCAUAUUUUUAUAUAAAAUAAUUUUUAUUUGCAUACAUACUUUGACAACUUUCAGUAAAAAAGAACACAAAACAAUGAACAUUUCACACAUAACCCCACCACCAAGGCCUGAACAAGUAUCACUUCCUUUACCAUAAGAUUUAUAAGUCAACCAUUAAACAAAUGUCAUAUCCAAAGUUCCUGACCAACAAAGUUGUAUUGUUUUCCUUUUCAACUUUCUAGAACAUAUUUAAUAAAAACUGACCAAUAUAAAUCAAAAUCAGAUCUAUUAGUUUCCCCCCUGAACACCCUCAUUUCUAUUGAUAAUUUAUCAUUUAAGGCAACAUUCCAUACCUCCCCAUACCAGGCUUCCAGUGUGAGAUUGGUUACUACCGGUAUCUUCCAGUUCCUUGCAAUUAUAAGUCUCGUCACUGUGAGUAAAAUAAUCACCAAUUCUUUUUUUUCCAUUUCUAAGUUCAACUUCGUGGGAUUCAUUAGUAAUGCUAACCUAGCAUCCGGGGUGAUGUUUAAUCCUCUAAUGUUACCAAUUUCUAUAAAUAUGUUGUUCCAAAAACUCUUCAACUGGGGACAUUCGCACCAUAAAUAAAAAUAUGUCUCUCUAUGCCUGCCACAUCUCCAACAGAGGUUACUUUGUUUCCUAUCCAUCUGAUGUAGUUUAACUGGUGUGGUAUACCAUCUCCAUAUGACUUUGUAUACAUUUUCUUUUAAUCUUAUUGACAGAUUUGAUGCCAUAUUACUCAAAUGUAAAAUCAUCCUUUACAAAUGGGUUCUCUGCUAUCAGAUUACCACCCUUAGGAAACAUACUCCAAAUACAUGUGCAUAAUAAUAAUAAUAAUAAUAACAACAACAACAACAACAACAACAAUAACAAUAAUAUACUUUAUUUAUAUUCUACUCUAUCUCCUCAAGGGGACUCAGGGCGGAUUACAGAACACAUAUAUGGCAAGCAUUCAAUGCUGUUGUUCAAUUAACAUGGACAGACAAUAAUAUAAACAGAAAUAAAGGCUUUUUCCAUGUUUUCCAUUUCCGGCAUCUGGAGGCUGUGCUCAACCCUGGCCACUGGGAUUGGGUGGGGUGUGCUUUCGCUCCAUCUUCCAUGCUGAGGAGGUUUGUCAUCCUUAGAUGUCCUCCUGAUCGAAUCGCUGGCAUGUUCCUAUGGCAUGUACCUCCCCGCUUAAAGCAGUGCCUAUUUAUUUACAUUUAUGUUUUCAAUCUGCUAGGUGGGCAGGGAGCUGGGGCUGAUGGCGGAUGCUCACCCCAACCCAGGCUUGAACUGCCAACCUUUCGAUUGGCAGGAUUUUCUACAGCUUAGCGGUUUAACCCGCUGUGCUAAGCAGGUUAAACUGCUUAUUUAAAUUCAAGUAAAAAUGCUAACCAUUAUAUAGGAGAGCUACAUUGAGUCUAGGACAGGCAAGGGCAAACAUUGGCCCUCCAGGUGUUUUGGACUUCAACUCCCACAAUUCCUGCCUAUGCCUGCUUUAGAAUAUCCAUUAUUUAAGUCAUUGUUUGUUUGGAUCUCCCAUCCAAGUGCCAACCGUGUCAGAUCUUGCUUAGCUUCCAAGAUUGCAUGGGAUCUGGUGUGUUUUUGAUAAUCAGGUCCUAGGCAAUACAGUGAUCCAUGUGAAUGACUUCCACUGGUUAAGACAUGGCAGAUGUAGAUCAAACCCAACACGAGAAGGCCAUCAGUUUGCCCCAACCUGGGUGAAACUGCAUUAGGUGUCUCCAGCAUCGAAGAAAGAGCAGGUGUUAGACCUUCUCAUUCACCAUACACUACAAAGAGAAAUGAGAAAUAGGGAUAGGCAGAGGAGGUAUUUGCACGGGUUGCUGGGCAACACAAAAGCACCUUGUGGUCCUGCGAUAAUCCAGAAGCAGAGAUGAUCGCCAUGUGGUUGGUUACUUAGCAACCAGAAGAGUGAUUUCUCUCCUUUGCACCUUUUCUGUCUUCAGUUGUGCCAAAAUGAAUUUGAUUGAAAGUAGUAUAUUACUACCGACAUCUGCAUGAAAAUGACACAGAGGUAAAACUCUGACCAACUAACUCAAUAAACUUGGUUUCUUGGGAACAAAGCCUUUAAUCUGUGUUAUCAUUCACUGCUGGGUUGAAUUCAGGGGAUAGAGGCCUGCAUGCUUUCCCUCACUUUAAAGGGGCAUCUUAAAGAACUGGGUAUAUUUAGCCUGCAGAAGAGAAGGUUGAGAGAAGACAUGAUAGCCAUGUAUUAAAGUAUCAUAAGGGUGUCAUAAGGAAGCAGGAGCAGGCUUGUUUUUUGCUGCCCUGGAAAUUAGGAUUCGGAGCAAUGCGCUCAAAUUACAGAAGAGGAGAUUCCACCUGAACAUUAGGAAGAACUUCCUGACUGUGAGAGCUGUUCAACAAUGGAACUCUCUGCCUCGGAGUGUGGUGGAAGCUCCUUCCUUGGAAGCUUUUAAGCAGAAGCCGGAUAGCCAUAUGUCAGAGAUGUUUUAAUUGUACAUUUCCUGCAUGGCAGUGGGUUGGACUAGAUGACCCAUGUGGUCUCCUCUAACUCUAUGAUUCUAUGAUUAAUCCCAGAUUUGAUAAAAAGGUUGUAUUUAGGAAUUUCUAGGUCAGCAUUUUUCAACCUGGGGGUCGGGACCCCUGGGGGGAUCGCGGGGGGUGGGGGAUUGUCAGAGGGGUCACUAAAGACCACCAGAAAACACAUUCACAUUUGAGCAUAUUGAGUAUUCAUACCAAGUUUGGUCCAGAUCCAACUUUGUUUGAGCUCUCUGGAUGUAGGUGAACUACAACUCCAAAACCCAAGGUCAAUACUCACCAGAUCCUUGCGGUAUUUUCUGUUAGUCAUGGGAGUUUUGUGUGCCAAGUUUGGUUUAAUUCCAUCAUUGGUGGAGUUCAGAAUGCUCUUUGAUUGUAGGUGAACUAUAAAUCCCAGCAACUACAACUCUGAAAUAGCAAAAUCAAUCCCCCCCCCUCAACCCCACCAGUAUUCAAAUUUGGGUAUUUCUGCCAAAUUUGGUCCAGUGAAUGAAAAUACAUCCUGCAUAUCAGAUAUUUACAUUACAGUUCAUAACAGUAACAAAAUUACAGGAAUGAAGUAGCAACAAAAAUAAUUUCAUGUUUGGGGGGUCACCACAACAUGAGGAACUGUAUCAAAGGGUCAUGGCAUUAGGAAGGUUGACAACCACUGCCCUCGGUUCUCCAGAGUGACUUUAUUGUCAACUUUCUCAGGUCAUUCUAGGAGACCUAGAGAUUUCUAGAAAGAACACUAUAGAUUCCAUGUUCAGCUUCUAUACAAUGUUCAUGAUGGUUAUGUGUUUUUAGAUAUGUUGAGUGGCGGGUAAGAAAUAAAAUCGUUAUUACUAUUAUUAUUAGAGAAUGUUGACCACAGAGUCAUACUAGAAGAGAUGUGUUCUCUCAAGUAAAUAAUGGGAACGACAAUGAUUAGAAGCAGGCCCACCAUUUCAGGUGAUGUCAAGUCUAAUUCAAGAAGAAGGAGAAGAAACAUGAUUCAUAUGAACUGACUAGUGACUUGGUUCUUGAGACUACAGCGAUCAGGCAAUCUGUUAUCUUUUGCAAACAUUCCCAUCAAUUGAGGCUCUUGAAUCCAUUGAAAUUCUCAUUAUACACACACCUGAACUUGCAACUGAGCAGCAGAGAAUUUGAUUCAAUUUUUGAUCACAGACUUCUUCCUUUGUCUCGUAGGAAAUUGUUUCUUCUAAUUGAAAGAUGAAUUGAACAUCUUCUCCCAUUCUGCCUUGCUAUUGCUAGGAUUGGCUCGGGCUAAUGGUGAUUUGGAGUCCAACAUCAGUUACAUCAAGGUUUCUUAAAUGUUUACUCAACCCCAGGCAUAUAGUAAUAGAUAAUUACAGUGGAUGGAUGGAACCCAGGAACCAUCUCUAGGACGAGAAGUUGGUUCCCAACACAAAGAAAAAAGAAGGACAUGGGAAGGUUGAGAGGGUAAAGGCAAAAUCUCAAAACAGUGCUAGAAAUAGCAUUUGAUCAAGUAUUAAAAUACUCUUAUAAGAUCUGGUAAGUUUUGUAAAGCCUUCUUCAGCAACAGUGAAACAAUACUAUAAAUCAUUACAAAUACAUGUGACUGUAUACAUACAUAAAAAUGGAAUUAGAGCCAAUUAGCCAUUUUGGCAAUUUUAUGUUUUUUAAAAUACUGUUUGUGAAAUUUCCUUAGAAAAAUUUCAUUGAUAACACAUCCCAACAACAAAAAUUUGGUAUUUUGGGUUUUAGGCCUAUUCCUGGGGUUAUUUGAGACACUGAUUCAAAUAAUUGCAUUGGAUAGACUGCAUCAACUUUCUUAGACAUGCUUAUGAUUUGCAUGGGCAAGCAGAUGAAGACUGCUAUGUGGCAUAUAUUUAACUCAAAAAUUACAUCAGAUAGGGGAAAACUGGUGCAUUUUUAGAUUUGGCAGAUCAAAUAUACCCAGAAAUAUUUCUAACAUACGAGACACCCAAAUGUGUGUUGACCAGUGUAACCUAUUAUACUUUGAUUGAGUGUGCAAUUAUGAUUAUACAAGUAUGGGAAGUGCUUGAGAGGGGUGUUUUCUUGGACUAUAAAUCACUGAAUCCACCAACCAUCUAGGGUAUUGACUAUUUUGGAUGAGGAAUUUUAAGAGCUGUAAAAAAAAACCAGCAUAGUAUUGAUAUUGGGACAUUGGGAGACCAGAGUUCGAAUCCUUUCUCAGGCAUGGAAAGCCACAGAAUGACCUUGGUCAAGUUAUGUUCUCUCAGCCUCAAAGUAAAGCAAAGUCAAACCUCCUCUGAACAAAUAUUACCAAGAAAAUCCCACAAUAAAUUCAGAAAUGAUUUGAAAGCACACAGCAACGAGUAAAAAAGAAAGCUAAUCUUUCAGAUAAGCUGUGAUCAUUAAAUUAGUUCCAACAUCUCUGUCAUAACUGUUGAAUGUUACAUCAGAUAGAAGCAAAACUUUUCUUGACUUUUACAAGUGCUUGAUUGAACUUUAGGUAUGGAAAACAAUGCUACAUUAAGAUAAAAAGGCUGGAAAAGAUAGGAUCUUUCUUAGGAGGCAAAUUUCUGAUACUAUUACGAACAUGGUGUUUGGAGAUAAUGGUGACAAAACUGCUCACAAAUAAAGCAUAUGCUUUUUAUAUUUUUAAAAGAAAAAGGUUUUUUUGGCCCUCAUGUGGAGAUAACUGUGGAGACAGAGAAAGGUUUUCCUCUAAGGGGGUUACAAGUCAUUUAAGCACAUCCCUUCAGCUUAUUUCUCUGAGCAGUUCAUAGCGCUGUGAACAUUCCUUUUACUGACAAGAACAUGCAAGGCUAGUCUGGGUUUAUCUGUUACUUUGUGGAUUAUACUGGUGGCAAUUAAUGAAGCAAGAAGGAUCAGCUAUUAGAAGGAGUUAUGUGAGAUGGUUGACCCAUGGCCUAUACUUCAAGGAUUGCUUCUUUAUCGCGCUCUCGCAGAUUUACAGUAUUCCUGCCAUGUCCUCUUUGGGCUGGGGAUCCUACCAUUUCAAGACGUCAUCAGAGAGCCAGAAAGAGGCAAUGGUUCCAAGGAAGUGAAAACUCUUAAGUCAAAAGAUGCCAAAAUUAUCAGCCAAGCCCAAUUAAAAGUUACUUUGUUUGUAACAAAACAAAACCCUUUGAAACCCAAGAUUUUUAAAAAUUCUGGUCAUAGCUAUGCUAAUAAAAUUUAUUUAUUUAUUUCUCAUUAUUGUUAUCUGCUUUCAAAUGGUUUCUGACUUAUGACUACUUUAAAGCAAACCUAUCGUUGUGUGUGUGUUAGCAACAUUUGUCCAAAAGUAGUUCGUCAACCCACAGAGUUGACUAUGGAUCCUAUACAGAACAUUUGAAUCAAAUUCCCAAAUAAUCAGAUCUCCAAAUUCAAAUCCGCAAAUAUGGACAGAUGAAUGCAUUUCUUUAUUGAAUUUAUAUCCCACCGGUCUCCCAAAAUGGGAUUCAUGGUUGCUUACUGUCAUUUUAAGAUAUCAAGCUAAAAUAUUAAUUUACAAAUGUUAAGAAUUAAACAGUAUUUUUAAUGAUUAAAACAGUUACAAAUGCUGAAAAUAUCUUUAAACUAUAAUUUCAAUAAAAUGUUUAAUAACAAGAUUUUCUAUGAGAAGUACUUUUCUGCUAUUUUUGCCUACUUAACUGAGAUAUGUGGUGAUCGGAAAUGAGAGUUUUUUAUGUGGUAGUGUAUCAACAGUAUCAACAGGGAAAAUGUUUCCAGAUUUUGCAUGAAUACACUUACUGGUAACUGUGGAUAACAGUGAGUGCUAUUGUAAUGAUGGACUCGUAGCUAAAUAAUGCCAUAGAGUCAUACUGGAGAACCUAGAAAAUGCCGAGGGAGGACAUGAUUGGUCAUGGAUAAAUUAAACUGUGGAUAUUGCUUCUGUGGAUACAGGGGUUGCAUUGUAUGAUCUUUGAUGGAUAUUGAGGUGCCAGAUGAAGUCAGUCCUUUUCUCUUGUGCUCCUAAUGCCAUGUGAGAUUUUUUAACAGUUCUAGAGUUCUGUUAUGUUUUAUUUGCAGCUUUUCCUAUUUUAUCUCUGAGGCUUAUUGUUUAUUAAAACAGUGUAUCUUAUUGUUGUUUUUAGUAUUGUGAACUGUCUUGAACUUGCUUAGCCACAAAGAACAGAAGCUAUGAUAGGAAAUGUGAGCAAAUCUUGACUCUGGGAUUGUGACCAGUUGGCAAAAAGCAAGACAGAUGCUAUGAUGUGAGAUCACAUCCAUCUAAACUGGUGGAUGAAGUGAACCAAAUGGAGAAGAUGAAACCACACUCAACAUUAGCCCAAGCAGAGGAAGCAGGCAAUUGCUUUAAUGAACCAAGAUACACUGAUAGGUAGAAAAAGAUUAAGGCAAAAAUAAAAAAUGGUGAGCAAAAAGAACCAUAUCUUCAAUCAUUUCAUGGAUGAAAACUGGGAUAUAUUUGAACAAAUUGGCCCUCCUCAUUUGUUAGUUUGACUUUUGUGGAUCUGGUUAUUCAUGGAUAUUAUUAAAAAGGCCUCUAUAGGAUUUCUAAGUCCUCCAGUAUGGCUCUAUUGGCCUACUUUCCCUUGACAUUAACCAUGGAGCCAUAAUGAAGGACCAAGAGAUUCCUAGAGAGAAUUUUUUCUAGGAAUCUUUAGGUCUUCCAAAGUGAUUUUUCCAGCAGAAUUUGGACACAGGGUUGUGCUAGAGGAUUUGUAGAGAAUUGGUGUUUUUUUGGUGUGAACAAUCCUUAUUGCAAUACAAAAAAAUGUGGAGUGAUUUGAUAUUGAUUGGUCAAUUAAAAUCCAUUGCUUUUGCAAAAGACCUCAUGGAGAUGAAAACUGUUGUUGCUGUUUUAUUGCUAUGGAUCAGCACAACUGCCUGCAUUUUCCAACUUCCUGGAAGUGUGUGUGGCAAUGGUGAUCGUUAUCAUAAUUAUCUGCACUGAAAUAUUUAAUUUUACCCACUGUUUGGGGGCAUGCUUUUAAAAGUUGGCCCCCAAAACUGUGGAUGCAGCUUUCUAGACUUUAUUUAAAAACCAUUGAUUGAAGGAAUGAAGGCUUUUAUUUUUAGCAUGAAGAAUUGUGUGCCCUGUUGCACACAUGGCAGAACAAUCAAACUUCCCUAGACCAUUAAGCUGCCUCUUCUCUGUUUCAAUAUUAAAACAAAGGGUAUAUUUUCCGUUCUGUACUGCGUUCUGGGAAUUAAGCCCACAACUCCAAUUAACAGAAAUGAAUUCCCCACACAGAAUAUUUACCCUUAAGAGUUGGCUUGAUAUAAUGAGUCAUGUGUUUUGUGUUUAAGCUCUUAAUGCCUAGAGGAUUUAAAAAACCCACUUCUAUUUUGAUCACUUCAUGUUUUCAUCAUUUGAAGGGAGCAGAGCGGCUCAUUCUUACCCCUGGCAAUUAAGCAUAUACAUUACUUGAUUAAUAAUGUGCAAUCGACAGCUGCCUUUCUCCUUUCUCCACAUCUAUGUCUGUCAAGAAAAGGACAAGAAUUAGAUAACUGGAAUUUUAUUUCUUUUAAUUAUUUACUACUCAACAAAUAUUAAAACUAUAGUGGAGGCUGAAGGAUGUUUCUGAGAUUAGCCUGUGAAAUUAGUGAUAGUUAAACAGAACUUUUGGGGAUUUUAAAUUAUAGGUUCAGAGCUUGGAGAAGCAACUUUAUAGAAAAAAUCUCCCAAAAUGUCCCAGCCACUCUAGCUAGCAGGGCCACUGGCUGACCUUGUGGGUUGUUGCAUUCUGGGAGUUAUUCAAAAAAACCUUUGUAACCUUUAAAUAAGUUUCUUGGGUAGUACAUUGUUUGUAUGCCAAUAAAGGCUGUGUCUGUUUGAGAGAGUAGUUCAUUGUGUGCACCAGAAUCAACAUCUUAGGAGUUUGCUUUUGAACUUUCCAGUGCUUUCCCCCCAGUUUUCACGUGUAGAGGCUGAAACUAAGAAAGAUAAGUUACGGGUGAUUUUUGCAUAUGGAUUGUAUGAGGCCAACAUGGGACACCUUCAUGUACUUAACAGAAAUAGGCAGGAUGAAAGAUGCCUUAGACAACUGCUUCUUGAACUAUGGAUUCCAACCCUAAGUGGGGUCCCAUUAGCUCAAUGUUGGGGUCACGAAAACAUUUACAACAGUAAAAGGUUUCUGAACACCACUUAUUUACACAACUAUAUUAGCAACAACAUGCAGUGUUUACAGUGGACUCUGCAGAAAAUACUUUAGCUACAAACCACAUAAAGGAAAAUAGGAAGCCUUUAUUUAUUUUUAAUUAAUGUGCGAUUUUUAUACCAAUUUUAUGUACCCAUAUACCUGAGGUCACAUAAAUAUGUCUUGAGCCUAAAGGAUUCACAUGCCCACAUGCCCCAUUACUCUGUCCAAAAAUCAAAUAUUGAAGAUUGAUUUGUAUUUGUCCAGUACACUGGGGUCUAAGGAAGGUUUUUUUUAGAAGUGGUCUUAUCACAGCCUAUGAGGACUGCAGGGACUCUGCACUGAUACAAGAGAAAGAUCAUAGCUUGUGGCACAUAGUUUGCAUGAAAUAUCAUAGUUACCAACUAUGUCACCAUCAGUUUGACAGAGAGAUUCCAAAUAAAGCAUCUACCACCUCACUUUUCUGACUGCUUUUAAAAGUCUGUUUUUUUUUCUUCCUCUCCCAUGUUACCUCUUUGUCCUGUCUUACUUCCAUUUGUGCAAAAUGAGUUAACAAUGUGAAGUUAGUUUGCACACAGUUGCCACAGGCUGCACACGCACUGUAGAAUUAAUGCAGUUUGACACCACUUUAACUACCAUGGCCCAAUACUGUGGAAUCAUGGGAGUGACUGUUUCAUGUCUUCUCUGCCAAAGAACUGGUGCCUCACCAAACCGCAACUCCCAUCAUCCUAUAGCCUUGAACCUUGGAAGUUAAAGUGGUGUGAGACUGCAUUUGUUCCACGGUGUGGUUGUACUCUUAGUGGGAGGUAAGAGGGGCAGAAUCUUGCCCUUCCCUGUAGACAAGUGGUUCCCAAACCUGUGGCCCACGGCCCAGCAAUGGGCCACAAGAAGAAAAAUCCAGUCCGUGAACCUCCUUCCUUUUUAUUUAUUUUAUUUCAUUUAUUUCCACUUUCUUUCCACAGAGCUGACCAUUCACUUGGAUAGACCAUGUCAGAUCUAGAUUAUUAAAUAUGGUUUUCUGUGGGCAAGCAGAUGGCAACUACUGGAUGGCAUAUGUUGAUCAAAAACUGAUUCAUAAUCUUUUUGGUACUAAUGUUGGAGAGUGGUCCCUGCUCAAAGUGGUCCCUGUUCAAAAAAAGGUUGGAACCACUGCUGUAGAGUAUGAUAAAAGCAAACUCCUGCAUCCUUUCCUAGCUUGUGAUCUUCUUCAUCAGUAAGGUUUGCUAUUUUGAACACAUCUUGGUCUUAUUUGUCUCAGUUUUCAUCUGUGAAAUAUUGGAGAUCAUUUAUAUAGGGUUGCACCAUGUAACAGGCUGAGGUAGAAGGAUAUGCAACAUGUGUGCAGGCUUAGACUUUGAUUCUGGGUGACGUGUUUUAACAUUGGAAUGUAUUUUAAUUAUGCUAUAUUAUGUAUGUAUUAAUUUUAAUCCAAUUUUAUCUCAAGUUUGUUUUUAUGCUUUAAGGCACUGUAUAAGUGAUGUUUGUAAGCCACCUUGAGUCCCCCAUUCGGGUAGAGAAAGGCGGGGUAUAAAUAAGGUAAAUAAAUAAAUAAAUAAAAUGUAAUAUGUUAUAUGUAUUAAUGUGUUUACAUUGUUUUCGAUUAAUUCUUUAAUUGGAUUUUUUUAGAAUGUUUUUUGAAAAAUUCAUACUAUAGGUUAUUUUUGCUCUUUUAACUUAUAGGGAUGCCAUAUUGGGAGAAAAACAGGAAAUAAGCCAAGUAAAUAAAUAAACUGGGGGAAAAAAUCACAGAUCAUCCAUUGGUAUCUUUAGCUUAAAGAAAGGAUCAGCCAUGGUUUUAAAUGUGUCCUAUAUGUCCCCUUUUCCCCUACAGUUGACAACAAACACAACAACAAAAACAGAAAGACUGGAGAGGCAAUUUCCAGGAGAGAGUAAAAAAGAAUCAAAUUAACGUGGCACUUCAGGUCAAACUUCCUCCCUGAAGAAAAACCAAAAAGAAAGUGGCAACGCUAAUUACUCUUUUUCUAUUUAAAAGCCUCUGAGUUCUUAAGAGCUUGGAGGAGAUGGAAGGAAAGUAUUAAAUUUUCAUUAAAGGGACACUGCCAAAUUGGA